CAAGGGAACUCGUGGUAACUGUAUCAG
rnacentral:piRNA from 1 species